UAAAAUUAAUUUAUUAAUAAAAAUUUUUUAAAUAAUUAAGUAAUAAAAAUAAUUUUUAAUAAUUGAUUUUUAGUAUAGUUUAAAGAAAUAAUAAUUUUAAUAAUAGUUUAUUAGUAUUGUGAAAGAAAAUUGAAAUAAUUUGAAAAUUUAUUAUUUUAAAAGAAAAUUUAAUUUAUUGUACCUUGUGUAUCAGGGUUUAUUAAAUAAAAAAUAUAUAUACUAUAUUUUUCUCGAAUUUAAAAGAGCAAAUUAUUUAUGUUAGUUAUUGUAGCAUAAUUAUUAAUAAUAAAUAAUUUGAAAUGAAAUGUUAUUCGAUUUUAAAUAUUUCUAGUUGUUUAAGAAAUAAAUUUAAUUUAGGUAUAAUAUUAUUAAUAAUUUAAUUUUAAAAUUAAUUAUUAUAUUAUACUAAUAUUUUAAGGGAUAAGCUUUAAAAUAAAUUUUUAUAAUUAAUUAAAUUUUAUAAAUAUAUGUAAGCUUAGAAAUAGCUAUCAUUAAUAAUUAUGUUAUAAUUUAUUUUUUAUUUAUAUUAUUUAUUUAUAUUUUAAAUUUUUAUUAAACUAUUUAUUUUAAUUUUAAAAAUAAAGUAAUAAUGAUAAAAUUAGUAUAUUAUAUAAUUAUAAAAAUAUUAUUUUUUGAUAGGUUUUUAUAAAGAAUUCGGCAAAUUUAAUACUCGCCUGUUUAUCAAAAACAUGUCUUUUUGAUUUUUAUUUAAAGUCUGACCUGCCCACUGAAAUAUUUAAAGGGCCGCGGUAUUUUGACCGUGCAAAGGUAGCAUAAUCAUUAGUUUUUUAAUUGAAAGCUUGUAUGAAUGGUUGGAUGAAGUAUUUACUGUUUCAUUUAAAUUUAAAAUAGAAUUUUAUUUUUUUGUUAAAAAGCAAAAAUAUAAUUAAAGGACGAGAAGACCCUAUAGAGCUUUAUAUAUAAUUUUAUAUAAUUUAUAUAGAUUUUUUUUUAUUUUAUAAUAAUUAUAUAUUUUGUUGGGGUGACAAUAAAAUUUAUAAAACUUUUAUUUUUUAUUUACAUUAAUUUAUGUUUUUAUGAUCCAUUUUUAAUGAUUAUAAAAUUAAGUUACCUUAGGGAUAACAGCGUAAUUUUUUUGAAGAGUUCAUAUCGAUAAAAAAGAUUGCGACCUCGAUGUUGGAUUAAGAGUUAUUUUUAGGUGUAGAAGUUUAAAGUUUAGGUCUGUUCGACCUUUGAAUUCUUACAUGAUCUGAGUUCAGACCGGCGUAAGCCAGGUUGGUUUCUAUCCUUAAUAUAUUAUAAUAUUUUAGUACGAAAGGAUCAAAUAUUAAAAAUAUAAAUUUUAAUUAAAUUGAUUAUAAUUAAUUUAUUUUUAAUAUUUAAAUUUAAAU
rnacentral:rRNA from 1 species